CAGAGAAUAGUUUAAUUAAAAAUAUUAAUUUUGGAGAUUAACGAUAAAAGUUUAAUUUUUUCUCUGA
rnacentral:tRNA from 1 species